rnacentral:rRNA from 1 species
UACAGAGGGUGCGAGCGUUGUCCGGAAUUACUGGGCGUAAAGGGCUGGUAGGCGGCCAACUAAGUCGGAUGUGAAAUCCCCAGGCUUAACCUGGGAACUGCAUCCGAUACUGGUUGGCUUGAAUCCGGGAGAGGGAUGCAGAAUUCCAGGUGUAGCGGUGAAAUGCGUAGAUAUCUGGAGGAAUACCGGUGGCGAAGGCGGCAUCCUGGACCGGCAUUGACGCUGAACAGCGAAAGCUAGGGGAGCAAACGGG